rnacentral:rRNA from 1 species
ACUUUGGUUCUUGAGUAAAGUGGCGCACGGGUGCGUAACACGUAAGUAAUCUACCCUAGAGGCUGGGAUAACCUCCCGAAAGGGGGGCUAAUACCGGAUAGUGUCCCUGAGGUAUAGGCCGCAGGGGGAAAGCAGGCCUCUGUUUUACGCUUGUAUUCUAGGAUGAGCUUGCGGCCCAUUAGCUUGUUGGUGGGGUAAUGGCAUACCAAGGCUACGAUGGGUAGCUGGUCUGAGAGGAUGAUCAGCCACACUGGCACUGAGACACGGGCCAGACUCCUACGGGAGGCAGCAGUGGGGAAUUUUGCGCAAUGGGCGAAAGCCUGACGCAGUAACGCCGUGUGGAGGAUGAAGGCCUUCGGGUCGUAAACUCCUGUCAGAGGGAAUGAAGGUUAGCAAGAGAUAACAUUGACUAAUCUGACGGUACCCUCAAAGGAAGCCCCGGCUAAUUCCGUGCCAGCAGCCGCGGUAAUACGGAAGGGGCAAGCGUUGUUCGGAAUUAUUGGGCGUAAAGGGCGCGUAGGUGGUUCUAUAUGUCUGCUGUGAAAGGGUACGGCUCAACCGUACUUGGGCGGUAGAAACUGUAGAACUCGAGGCUGGGAGGGGCUAGUGGAAUUCCCCGUGUAGCGGUGAAAUGCGUAGAGAUGGGGGAGAACACUCGUG